rnacentral:lncRNA from 1 species
UGACUUCUUCGGGCUCUAGCCAGACUCUCCAGAGACAGGUGAGUGCUUGGCCUACUCUGCCAAAAAUCCAUGGCGUAGGACACAGCAGGUCCUUAAGCUCUGGUGGCUUGCUCCCUUUGCUGUAGUGGAGAUGCUUGGCAGAUACUCAGUAGGUAGUCGUGCUAGGUCCAAGGAGAGGGCCCCAGCCAUUGUGGAAUGUAGACUGUGAGGCAAAAGUAGCAGUGGCAGUGGCACCAAAUCUUGGCCUUUCACAUGGGAAUAUCUGGCAGUGGACUCAGGCUUCUCAGAAGCACUUAUAUGAAUUUUAACCCUGUUGCAUUGCUUUACGUAGUCAAUAGAAUGCAGGCUGCUGGUAGAGUAUAGCUUGACCCUGUAGCAUGUAAACGGGACUGUGUAAAUGUUGUCUGUUCAGGUGGUGAACAGAAGCCUCUGUGUCCCUGGCAGCUUGGAAGAUUCCCGGGCGAUUGGCUUGGAAAUAGAGAAGGAGCUAAGCCUUGGAGGUGAUGGCAGGCACCUCACGGGUCAGUUUGCACCACAUUUAAACACUUACCUGGGUCUGUAGACAGAAGAAACUUUGAUGGACUCGCUGGGAGCAUGAGACUCGCAGACCUGUGUCUCGAUAGAUUUGGUGAAAUAACUUUUGUUGGAAUCUCUUCUUUGGUAGUUGCUGUUGCUUUGGAUGUUGUUGAAGGGAUAUCCUUGGUAUAUUUGGACCUUGUUGUCAGCCUCCUUGGCAAGGUCAAAGGGAAAGUCUAGGAACAGUUCUUGCACCCACAGCCUUAGGAGAACCAUCUUGGUGAGGGACCCUCUAAAUUAGAGACCAAGGUGUCAUGGGACCUUUCUUUUCGAUGUUUUGGACUAACUCUUCUGGAAAGACAAGUUGCUAGUGUGCAUAGGAAGGAGGUUUCAACAGGGCACAUCGUGUUUUGCAAAUCCACCUUGAGAGCCAAUCUCACGGGAAUCAUCAGGGAGAACAUAAUUUCUUGGAUGCAGACUGCAUUUGACACACUAAGAUAACUUGAGUCAAGUCGGAUCCUGGCCUGUGGUAGUUCUGCACAAUGGGAUUUUCAUUAGUGUGAGAAGCUGAGCAGUAUAGUCUGAGAAGUUUUCACCAGAAGAGCUCAAAGCAGGGGUAGAUGGCCAAAAGCAAUCUCAUGAGAGAGGUGGAAGUCUUCACAACAGACAAAAUGAGCACUGGACAGGUGGACAGAAAUAGGGACUGGCUGCCACAGCAAGGAAUGUCUCAGGGUAAAAGACACACACACACACACACACACACACACACACACACACACACACAUACACACACACACACACACACACUAACACAGAGAGAAGGAGAGGGGGGGAUUCUUUUCAGCUGUGAAAAUGAAGCCUGCUUCCCAUGAGCUGGAAUUCUGAACCCUCAGAGGAGUUUGAUUUUACCUCAUGGAAAGACCCAGAAGUAAUGAUCAGAGGACUGGAGCAAUGAUUGAAGGCUCAAAAGUUGUUUGCUUAGAUAUCCAUGGAGGCCCAAUUUUGCUGGUGGAAUUAUUCAGAGCUGCCUCCUUCUUCUUCGUCAGCAUAAGCAAGUGGACCUAUGAUUGCCCUUGUUUUUGGCUUUUUCUGACUGGAUGCUUGGAGAUGAGCCUUCAUUUCCCUGAAAACUUUGCUCAGGACACUGGUGGAGGAAGUUGAUGGCUUGGACCUAAGAGAAAAUGAUGAGUAUCUGUAUUUCACCUCACAUAUCAUCGUAAAGUCCUUAGAGGGAGCUGAGUAUCAAGCAAGCACUUGAGAGCAAAGGGCAUGACAUGUUCACAUCCAAGGCCGGAGAGUAACAGCAAGUGAGAUCUGGAAGGGCAGUGUGAAGAAGUUGGUAAGAGCAGGAGUUUUGAGGGUGUCUGUGAGAUAUGACAAGCCCAAAGUACAUGGUAAGCCCAUAAUCCAUGUGGAUUUGAAUUGGUCCCAAUGUAAUCAGGGCAUGUUCUCUGUGCUCUCUUCUAGGGCUGCAUUCCCUUUCUAGUAUGGUCCAUGAAAAACAUGCAGAGGAAAUGGCCCCAAAGCAUUGGCUGAGAGUUUAUGUCGUCCAACUGAGUCUCCAUUGAACUGUUGUGGUGUUGCUGACUUGCCCUAGGUCACCUGAGUUAAAAGGGUUGCAUUCCCUUUCCAGUAUGGUCCAUGGAAAACAUGCAGAGGAAAUGGCCCCACAGCAUUGGCUGAGUGUUUAUGUCGACCAACUUAGUCUCCAUCGACCUGUUGUGGUGUUGCUGACUUUUUAUGUCGUCCAACUGAGUCUCCAUCGAACUGUUGUGGUGUUGCUGACUUGCCCUAGGUCACCUGAGUUAAAUGUAUGGUCCAUGGAAAAC